rnacentral:lncRNA from 1 species
GCUGAGCCCACUCGUCUCCUGACACCUACAAGCCCGACCAUGACAGAUGGUAUCAAACAGCACCCCCUGCAGGUACUUCUCCUCUCCCACUUCCAGCCUCACAUUCCCCUUGUAUUUUUUCUCAGGUGUGUCAACUCAGUAAAAUGAGUUACACAAAGAAAAGUGUCAGUGUUUUCGAAAAUGUGGCUACCAGACUUGCUGACAUUGAUUGACAGCUUUAAUACAAUCCUUCUUUUGUCUAUCAGCAUUCUUGAUGAAGACAGAUGUGAUGUAAUACUGUGGUAAAGCUUUACUGAAUGCUGUAGACACAUCAUGGCUUUUGUACAGCACUGAGUUACAAGAAGCUCACAGGGUAAACUUUAAGACCAGCAUAACACAAGAACAACUGAGAAAUCAUGAAUUGCCCCCUGUGAGGAGGGACUACAUGAUCUAUUUCAGAUGUGCUGAUCACAUUUAUUGCAGUUAAUUGAUUAUAAAAGCAUCAUUAGCCUUUGAAUGUGAGAUAAAUGUUUGUGCUUCACCAGAAGAUAUAUAUAUAUAUAACAUGUUUUUUUUUCAAGAUGUUGUUCUUAUGGCCACAAUUCUCCAUUUAAAACUUAUGAUAAAAUGCUUUGACUUCUCAGAUGGCUCCAGUAAUGUCACAGGACAUGGAUACAUACAACAGCCCAAUGUUUACCACGGUGAGUAACAGGUCCUAAAUAGUCUCUGUGCAUUUGUAAUUCUACUAGACAAAAGACAACAGGAUUUUGAGGAAUAUGUACAGCAGCAGGACUUGUUUAAAUGGAGAGUUCCUCCACCCUGAUUUAACCUUGUAACCUUGCUGUAUAUCCUGUCCAGAUUAACACCAACAUGACCUCACUGGGCAUGCAACAGCAGGCAAGAGACACUUUCAGAAGCCAAAGAGGACAAAGCAUGUACUCUACCUGGAAUACAAAUAACCAAACGAACACCUACCAGGGAAACUCAUCAAGGUUCAAGCGCUCUAUCAGCAUGCUGUCACAUCAACAUGUCGCGGAUCACAUUGACAGGAGACUGUACAUUAUUGAUAGGAACAACGUAGACUGCCCAGCGUACCAACCCUACCAGUAUGGCUACGAGGGACAGGGGAGCAAAUGCCAGUCACUGGAUCAGCUGUCAUUCGGCGACCCGGCGGAUGAAUUUAAGUUUCUGAAUGAUUUGGGGCCAAAGUUCAAGACCUUGGGAGGCAUCUGUCACCAGACAAUUAAAGAAAAAAACAUUCAAAUUUAA